rnacentral:rRNA from 1 species
UGCAGUCGAACGGCAGCAUGAAUAUGGGUAACCAUAUUUGACGGCGAGUGGCGGACGGGUGAGUAAUAUGUAGGAAUCUACCUAGAGGAGGGGGAUAACUUGGGGAAACCCAAGCUAAUACCACAUAAGCCCUACGGGGGAAAGCAGGGGACCGCAAGGCCUUGCGCCUUAUGAUGAGCCUACAUCGGAUUAGCUAGUUGGUGGGGUAAAGGCCUACCAAGGCGACGAUCCGUAGCUGGUCUGAGAGGAUGACCAGCCACACUGGGACUGAGACACGGCCCAGACUCCUACGGGAGGCAGCAGUGGGGAAUAUUGGACAAUGGGCGAAAGCCUGAUCCAGCAAUGCCGCGUGUGUGAAGAAGGCCUUAGGGUUGUAAAGCCUUUUCAGUGGGGAGGAAGGGAUUGAUGCUACUAUCGUCAGUCAUUGACGUUACCCACAGAAGAAGCACCGGCUAACUCUGUGCCAGCAGCCGCGGUAAUACAGAGGGUGCGAGCGUUAAUCGGAAUUACUGGGCGUAAAGCGUGUGUAGGUGGUUAGAUAAAUUAGAUGUGAAAUCCCUGGGCUUAACCUGGGCACUGCGUUUAACACUGUUUAGGUAGAGUACUGUAGAGGAUAGUGGAAUUUCCAGUGUAGCGGUGAAAUGCGUAGAUAUUGAAAGGAACACCAGUGGCGAAGGCGACUAUCUGGACACAUACUGACACUGAGACGCGAAAGCGAGGGGAGCAUACACGAUUAGAUACCCUGCUAGUCCAUGCUGUAAACUAUGAGAACUUGCUGUUGGAUGCAUAAAGGCAUUU